rnacentral:rRNA from 1 species
CAGUCGCCACGGUAAUACAGAGGGUGCGAGCGUUAAUCGGAUUUACUGGGCGUAAAGCGUGUGUAGGUUGUUGUUCAAGUCAGUUGUGAAAUCCCUGGGCUCAACCUGGGAACUGCUUCUGAGACUGAACGACUAGAGUACGGUAGAGGGUGGUGGAAUUUCCGGUGUAGCGGUGAAAUGCGUAGAUAUCGGAAGGAACAUCAAUGGCGAAGGCAGCCACCUGGGCCUGUACUGACACUGAGACACGAAAGCGUGGGGAGCAAACAGGAUUAGAUACCCCCGUAGUCCCUGUCUCUUAUAC